rnacentral:rRNA from 1 species
UCUGACCUCGGAUCAGGUGG